UACGGAGGGAGCUAGCGUUGUUCGGAAUUACUGGGCGUAAAGCGCACGUAGGCGGCUUUGUAAGUUAGGGGUGAAAGCCCGGAGCUCAACUCCGGAAUUGCCUUUAAGACUGCAUCGCUUGAAUCCGGGAGAGGUGAGUGGAAUUCCGAGUGUAGAGGUGAAAUUCGUAGAUAUUCGGAAGAACACCAGUGGCGAAGGCGGCUCACUGGACCGGUAUUGACGCUGAGGUGCGAAAAGCGUGGGGAGCAAACAGG
rnacentral:rRNA from 1 species